rnacentral:rRNA from 1 species
UACGUAGGGCGCGAGCGUUGUCCGGAAUUAUUGGGCGUAAAGCGCACGUAGGCGGCGCUGCAAGUCCCAUGUGAAAGCCCACGGCUUAACCGUGGAAGUGCAUGGGAAACUGCAGUGCUUGAGUACUUAAGAGGAUCGCGGAAUUCCCGGUGUAGAGGUGAAAUUCGUAGAUAUCGGGAGGAACACCAGUGGCGAAGGCGGCGAUCUGGGAAGAUACUGACGCUGAGGUGCGAAAGCGUGGGGAGCAAACAGG